GCCAUUUUUUUUGCUUCACUAUAGGCGUGGUGCACAGAGAGCUAGAGAGAAGGAGGGAGGGAGGAGGAGGCUAGAGAGAGAGAGAUAAGGUGGUACUCGGAGAGCUAUCGUCUCGUCUCGUCUUUCCGCUGUACGUUGAGCGCUGGGCAGCUAGGUUGUGGGACCCAUCCGAAAACUCGCACUUGAAGAUUCAGUGAAGCAAUGGAGGUAUUUGGCAAAUCUAUGGUAGCCGUGCCUACGAAUGUUAUUUUUCUGUCGAGUAUUCUUGGCCAAGAUGGGCCGAACACUGUUCACAAGUGCGAUUGGAAAUGUGAAAACGAACAUGUGUGUGGGAACAUGUACAGAUGCGGGCUAACUGGGGUGACCCACAUUUGUGACAAAAACUGUACUCAGAGAAUUUUGUAUGACAAUCAUAGCUCCCUCUGCAGGGUGAGCAAGCAGGUUUUUCCAUUUACGCCAGCUGAAGAGCAGGCUGUGAAAGGUAUACGGAGGAAGUUUGAUGCCGAUAGUUCUCCCUCUGACACCUGUGCUUUUAAGCGCAGGCGGGAUCGGGAUGCAACUUUCCAUCCAUCACCGUUUGAGAGAUCUUUCUCCGCUGUUAGUCCCCAUAUGUAGCCAAGUCGGAGAUGGAAUGGACAUGAACUAGAUGUUAACCGAUUAUUCUAUUUUGCUUUUUACUUUUUUAGUAUGCUCUCAUGAGACAAUAACGGAAAACACUUUCAUAAGACCAUCUAUAUAUGGCAGGCUAGAUCGUCUUGCCAAGUCUGUAGGAAAGCACUUCCAUAACUUACUAGGUUAUUUUAACUCUAUUAUGUAGCUGGACUUAUUAUUAUCACAUUUGAGCUCCUUUAGCGCAACAUUAAAACUCAAAUCUCUGACAAAGUAGCUCGGUAUUUGAUUUUGUCGGUCCAUUGCAGAUCUUUGUUCAUUGUAUUUUCAAGUUUUGGUGUUAUUGCUUGACCGAGCUUUCUUAUUUUGUAUUGAUCAGCACCAUCUCACAAAUUCCUUUGUGAGGCGUUACUUCUUUUUUUUUAGUGUGUUGCCCUGAUUCAUUUCCUUUUCUUGCACUGUUGGUUGCCUCGUUUUGCAGAAAUUUUCCAUUUCAAUUAUAGUUCAUUUCUUUAUUGAGUUUGUAUAAGCUAACCAGAUCUUUAUUUCUUUGACUUUCUGUGCUUUACAGGUUUAGGUAUUAAUAAGCUGAGCUCGUUUCUGGUUCUUUGUUGUUUAGUUUUUUAUAUGUUAUUUUGUGAUUUACCAGUUAUAUAUGUGGUGCCUAAAAUAAUGUUGUUUUUGCAGGAAUUGAAGGGUUUACAAUCGGGAGAGUUGAUAUAUAACUUUAUAUAUAUAGAUUUGCGUUAAUUAGAAGUUUAUUUACGAAUAUGGCAAUGAGGUUUUUGAUUAUUAUUGUGUUUUUUCUUUAUGCAGGAUAAAUAUUGCCCAAUGAAGUAGUGUUUCUUUGGAAACUCGGAAUUCCCAAUUCCCAUAAGUUGAAGCCUCAUCGUCAAAGGCAUGUUAACAAUGAACUUGUGAAAGCUAAAUCCUAAACCGUUGUUGAGUGAUCGAUGUGCGUAAACAGAUGCCCUGCUACUGACUAAACAUCGUAAUUACCAUCUGCAACUACCAGAUUCUCGAGAUCUUCAGGUUUUUCCAAGUCACUCCAAAAACACAA